GUUCUGUUAUUUGCAAUCAGUAACAAAGAUUCAUCCUUGUGUCCGUCAUGCAGCAAGGAGAAUCUUUGUCACUUAGUGUAAUUAAUAGCUGGAC
ensembl:miRNA